AUCAAAAAAUAUUUCCACAUACAUGUUUUUUUUGUGUUGUUUUGUUUUGCCACAAACUUAUGUUCAAAUCAACUUCGAUGCAAAAAAUAAUCGGCAGCCAUUUGAAAAAUUUCGGGAAGAUGUUAAUUUUCAUUUGUUUUUUGUGUUGUUUUGUUUUGCCACAAACAUAUGUUCAAAUCAACUCCGAUGCAAAAAAUAAUCGGCAGCCAUUUGAAAAAUUUCGAUACGAUAGUAUUCGAAUGCGGUAAUACAUCCAUUCGAUACGUGACGAUACAAUAGCGUACUCAUUCAAUACAAUAGCGUACUCGAUCACGUAAUUCAGUCCCUGGUUUCAUUAUAAAAAAUUGAAGACAAAUAAUACUAAUAAUUGCCUUCUUCGUUCUCCACAGGUUUAGCGGAUCUUCUUGGAGUAUCGUUUUUUUUCGGCAAUGGGUAUUCUCGCCGGUGUCAGUGCUGGAGCGGCUGAUAGAGGCCCACGCUCACGCGCUCUCCCUUUAGUCAUCGAAUUUAUUGCAAUUUCGUAAAUAAAAGGUAUGUACAUGUUUUUAAUGAGUUUAUUUUUUUUUUUUACUUUCAGAGGCCUAAUUUCGCCAAUCGAACACCAAAGGGAGCAACGGCUCUUUCUACCCAACAAGUUGGUUCUGCUACUCCACUGGCCCUAGGUUUAGCUCACCCUAAUCGCUGAGGACAGCGCCUUUUAAAACCCGCACCGUACCAAAAAAACUAAAGGAAAUCAAACUGUCUAUAAGUCCUGUCCGUCCGUCAAAGUCUUUGUAUACGUCCCGUAACAGUUUUUGAGAGAAAAAGGGUACGUGGAGCACCGUCGGCUGACCAGUGCUUAUAAUGCUUUAAAUCCCAGCGAGUGAAGGACAGAAAAGGUAUUUAAUUAAUAUUUUUCUUUUUUUUUGUAUUAUCAUUUCUUUCCAGGCCUUUGUAAGUAUUAGAUUACUUUUCUUUUGAGGCUUUUCUUUAUUUAAAGUUUUCCAUCUUUUCUCAGAUUUUUCAAAACUUCAACUUCUUUAACUUUUAAGGCGGGCACCAACAUAACAUAUGGUUAUAGCCAUAGUUGUCAGUUGGUGUCAGCUGGCUGUAUCUUUCGUUGACAGGAGGCGAAUUCUAGCCAUCAGAUGGCGUUGGAGGUCUCCUAUUCGGAAAUAGAUGGCGCUGGGUAUGCACAUCUUAGAAUUGUGGAAUAAAGAUGAAAUUGAGUUUGAAUAAUAAAAGGAUUUAUUUAAAGAAAGAAUAUUUGUAAUGAACUUCUAAGAUAUUCCAAACAGACUGAAUUGAAAAAUAUUUGACAAGAAUACAAAAGUACACAUUUUCUAUUGCUCAAAUUCAUAACAUACUAUGAUUGAAAAACUACUUCAAUACCCUUCUCAAUCAUAUAAUCAAAUCCAGUUGCAUAGAUUCUUAAAACAUAUUAACUAACGAUUUUGUGCAAAAUGAUGUUUGAUAUCAAUAUGCUUUGCUCGUUUCUGAUCCACACUGUUUCUAAGGCUGCUCGCUGGAAGAUGUUGCAAUAAUUUGUUGUUUUUUACUGGACCAGGAUACAGUACAGCCGAAUACUUUAAGAAAAUAUCCACUGACAGAUUUUCUAACAUUUAUGUCACUACCCCAGCCAACAUCGGCGUACUCAGUUAAUAUGUCGCUCUCAUUUGGUUCAUAAAC